rnacentral:lncRNA from 1 species
CACGCAUCUUAAACGGCACUUCCGGUUGCCAUUUCUUUAAGCAAUUAACACUACCCUAAUUCGUAACUUCCAGAACUGGUUUAUAUUCUAAAAGUUACAUACUACUUACUACAUGAUGCAGCAAAAUGCAUUAUUUUGUGUUUCCACUUCGUUGAAGGAUCUGGAAUUGUCUUCAGAACAGCGAUCAAAGCAACUCUCCUUCUCUCCCCUGGCGAGUUUCUGCCACUCAAUAACUUGGACUCACCUGCCUGCCUUCACCCCGUCUUUGACAUUAUUCUGUGGAUCCCACUUCCUGGCAUCGGGCCAGAGGGGGAAAACUCCCACCUUCUCAUCAGCGUACUGUAUGUUUCACCUCCCCACACCCUCUACCUUCCCCUCGUGCUCGUUCCUCCAUACGAACAUUUCUAGCCUCU